rnacentral:rRNA from 1 species
CCUACGGGAGGCAGCAGUGAGGAAUAUUGGACAAUGGGCGCAAGCCUGAUCCAGCCAUGCCGCGUGCAGGAAGAAGCAUCUAUGGUGUGUAAACUGCUUUUGUACAGGAAGAAACACUCCCUCGUGAGGGAGCUUGACGGUACUGUAAGAAUAAGGACCGGCUAACUCCGUGCCAGCAGCCGCGGUAAUACGGAGGGUCCGAGCGUUAUCCGGAAUCAUUGGGUUUAAAGGGUCCGUAGGCGGUUUAAUAAGUCAGUGGUGAAAUCUGGUCGCUCAACGAUCAAACGGCCAUUGAUACUGUUAGACUUGAAUUAUAAGGAAGUAACUAGAAUAUGUAGUGUAGCGGUGAAAUGCUUAGAUAUUACAUGGAAUACCAAUUGCGAAGGCAGGUUACUACUUAUGGAUUGACGCUGAUGGACGAAAGCGUGGGGAGCGAACAGGAUUAGAUACCCUGGUAGUCCACGCCGUAAACGAUGGAUACUAGCUGUUCGGAGCAAUCUGAGUGGCUAAGCGAAAGUGAUAAGUAUCCCACCUGGGGAGUACGUUCGCAAGAAGAGAAGACGAAAGAAAGUAGAGGACGUAGAGAGAGCGACGGACGACACGAGGGGAGGAGG